GCUGCAAUGGCGAGCAAAGAGGCUGAGAAGCACUCUCAGCAGGCAAGCUGAGAAGCACUCUCAGCAAGCAGAGUGGCCCACAAGCAGCCCAAAAAUUGCCUUCCAUCAUCGACUCCUUGUGAAGAACGAAGAGACGAUGGGAAGAAUUUUGAAGGUAAAAACUCCGCUGCUGGCCAGAAAAUAUUUCCUAUACCUCCCAUACCAAAGGUGACAUAAAGGCAAAUAG
rnacentral:lncRNA from 1 species